rnacentral:rRNA from 1 species
CCCUUAGAUGUCCUGGGCCGCACGCGCGCUACACUGAUGCAUGCAACGAGUUUAUAACCUUGGCCUGAAAGGUCUGGGUAAUCUUUUGAACGUGCAUCGUGAUAGGGAUAGAUUAUUGCAAUUGUUAAUCUUGAACGAGGAAUUCCUAGUAAACGCGAGUCAUCAGCUCGCAUUGAUUACGUCCCUGCCCUUUGUACACACCGCCCGUCGCACCUACCGAUUGAAUGGUUCGGUGAAGAUCUCGGACUUCGAUAUUUAUUCUUUAUUGAGUUUAUAUUGUGGGAAGUUACCUAAACCUCAUCAUUUAGAGGAAGGUGAAGUCGUAACA